UCUCCAUUUGUUUCUGUUUUGAACAGAAAUGUCAAGACCAUUUUUGUGGCUAUAUCUUUCUACAUAUUCCUGAUUAUUUCCUUGAAUAAACUGCUUAAAAGGGAAUUACUCAUUCAAGUGCUAUGUGAAAUAAUAAGACUUCUGAGACAGGGUCUCCUUAUGUUUUCCAGACUGGUCUCAAACUCCUGGGCUCAAAGAAUCCUCCUGCCUCAGCCUCCCAAAGUGCUGGGAUUUACAGGCAUGAACCACCAUGCCCAGCCCAGCCCAGCCCACCAUUUGUCAGAAAGAAGCGAUGAUGUGUGUGCCUCAUUCUUGGAAAUAAUUCCUAGGAACAAAAGAACCAAAAUCUCAGUAACCAUCUCUGAAGGCAUCAGGAACUUAGAACCAAUAAUCUAAAACCUGGUGAGAUUCUGUCUUGAAGAUAUUGUUUCUGAGCCUCCGCAUACACAGAUGAUGCAAAAAUGUAUGUUUCCAGUCAGCCCUCUGCUCUAAGCUCCAGCCCCAUCUAACCAACUGCUCACAUGGAUAUCUCAAACGCAUCUCAAUGUCAACACCUCUAAAUCCAAACUUCUAAUUACUUGAUCUUCUUUCAUUGUUCUCUAGUUCAGUGACUAGUAUCAUCCACAUAGAAAGAAACCCAGCAGUUACCCUUAACAUUUUCCUUGAAACCUGUUGUUCCCAAUAUCCCAUCAAUCAUGAAAAACUACAAUCUUGCUUCCUACUUUUGAAUCUGUCCAAUUAUCUCCACUCCCAGCACCCAAGGGAUGCACUAUCCCACUCCCAGGAUCACUAUUCUUAUAUGCAAUCACAGAGUGACCCUUAUGAAGUUGGGCAAGGUUGUGGUCCUGUCACCAUCCCCAUCCUAGGUACACAAUUAUUGUUUCUUGUCUGGCUACUGCAAGGAACUCAACACUCGCCCUGUUUCUCUUCAGGCCCCAUUGAAUCUGUGCUUCCUACUUCAGAUGACUUUUUAAACCCAAAUGUACCUGUGCAUGCUUCCUGACUGAGACCCUUGUGAGAAAUCCCAUUGCCCUUAGAAUAAAGACUCAAGUCUUUAA